UACGAAGGGGGCUAGCGUUGCUCGGAAUCACUGGGCGUAAAGCGCACGUAGGCGGACUCUUAAGUCGGUGGUGAAAUCCUGGAGCUCAACUCCAGAACUGCCUUCGAUACUAAGAGUCUCGAGUCCGAGAGAGGUGAGUGGAACUGCGAGUGUAGAGGUGAAAUUCGUAGAUAUUCGCAAGAACACCAGUGGCGAAGGCGGCUCACUGGCUCGGUAUUGACGCUGAGGUGCGAAAGCGUGGGGAGCAAACAGG
rnacentral:rRNA from 1 species